AGAGUUUGAUCAUGGCUCAGGAUGAACGCUAGCUACAGGCUUAACACAUGCAAGUCGAGGGGAAACGACAUCGAAAGCUUGCUUUUGAUGGGCGUCGACCGGCGCACGGGUGAGUAACGCGUAUCCAACCUGCCCAUCACUUGGGGAUAACCUUGCGAAAGUAAGACUAAUACCCAAUGACGUCUCUAGAAGACAUCUGAAAGAGAUUAAAGAUUUAUCGGUGAUGGAUGGGGAUGCGUCUGAUUAGCUUGUUGGCGGGGUAACGGCCACAAGGCGACGAUCAGUAGGGGUUCUGGAGAGGAAGGUCCCCCANAUUGGAACUGAGACACGGUCCAAACUCCUACGGGAGGCA
rnacentral:rRNA from 1 species